UUGUGAACCAGAGGCACCUCCACAUAUGGACCUGCGGCACUUCUGCAGCCUCAACAGCACGGAAGAGUACCUGAUGUGCAUGCUGUGACAAGCUGCUGUAGGUAUGGCUGGACCUGGAGAAGAAGUGUAAGCAGACCAUGCUAUGUUGCUGAUCUGCGCUGAUCUCCACAUCCAAGUUGGUCCCGCGACAGUUGGGCACCAUUGUGCCUUGCUUCAUUGACAAGGUGAUAUAAUAUGGUGCCCUGCUCGCUCUCACCCAAGCAACCCACUCCAGUGGUCUUCUCUCGGCAGACUGGAUGCAUCGAAAUACCGUUAGAAGGUCCAAUAAACAGUGCUUGGGACAUUUA
rnacentral:lncRNA from 1 species